UACGGAGGAGGCAAGCGUUAUCCGGAAUUAUUGGGCGUAAAGCGUCCGUAGGUGGCUCUUCAAGUCUGCUGUCAAAGAGUGGGGCUUAACCCUGCAAAGGCAGUGGAAACUGAAAGGCUGGAGAGCCGUAGGGGUAGAGGGAAUUCCCGGUGUAGCGGUGAAAUGCGCAGAUAUCAGGAGGAACACCAAUUGCGAAGGCAGCUCGCUGGGACGUUACUGACGCUGAGACGCGAAAGCGUGGGGAGCAAACAGG
rnacentral:rRNA from 1 species